CGGCAAGCCUGAUCCAGCAACGCCGCGUGGAGGACGAAGGUCUUCGGAUCGUAAACUCCUGUCAGGCGGGACGAAGGUUUCCCGGGCGAACAGUCCGGAAGCUUGACGGUACUGCCAGAGGAAGCCCCGGCUAACUCCGUGCCAGCAGCCGCGGUAAUACGGAGGGGGCUAGCGUUAUUCGGAAUUAUUGGGCGUAAAGGGCGCGUAGGCGGCCCGGUAAGUCAAAGGUGAAAUCCCUCGGCUCAACUGAGGAACUGCCUUUGAAACUGUCGGGCUUGAGGCCGGGAGGGGGUAGCGGAAUUCCCAGUGUAGCGGUGAAAUGCGUAGAUAUUGGGAGGAACACCGGUGGCGAAGGCGGCUACCUGGACCGGUUCUGACGCUGAUGCGCGAAAGCGUGGGUAGCAAACAGGAUUAGAUACCCUGGUAGUCCACGCUGUAAACGAUGAGUGCUCGGUGUCGCGGGUAUCGACCCCUGCGGUGCCUUAGCUAACGCGUUAAGCACUCUGCCUGGGGAGUACGGUCGCAAGGCUG
rnacentral:rRNA from 1 species